AUUGAACGCUGGCGGCAUGCCUUACACAUGCAAGUCGAACGGUAACAGGUCUUCGGAUGCUGACGAGUGGCGAACGGGUGAGUAAUACAUCGGAACGUGCCCGAUCGUGGGGGAUAACGCGGCGAAAGCUUUGCUAAUACCGCAUACGAUCUACGGAUGAAAGCGGGGGAGCUUCGGACCUCGCGCGGACGGAGCGGCCGAUGGCGGAUUAGGUAGUUGGUGGGAUAAAAGCUUACCAAGCCGACGAUCUGUAGCUGGUCUGAGAGGAUGAUCAGCCACACUGGAACUGAGACACGGCCCAGACUCCUACGGGAGGCAGCAGUGGGGAAUUUUGGACAAUGGGCGAAAGCCUGAUCCAGCCAUGCCGCGUGCAGGAUGAAGGCCUUUGGGUUGUAAACUGCUUUUAUACGGAACGAAAAGCCGCUUGCUAAUAAAGAGGGGUCAUGACGUUACCGUAAGAAUAAGCACCGGCUAACUACGUG
rnacentral:rRNA from 1 species